rnacentral:rRNA from 1 species
UGCUGGCGGCGUGCCUAAUACAUGCAAGUCGAACGAACUCUGGUAUUGAUUGGUGCUUGCAUCAUGAUUUACAUUUGAGUGAGUGGCGAACUGGUGAGUAACACGUGGGAAACCUGCCCAGAAGCGGGGGAUAACACCUGGAAACAGAUGCUAAUACCGCAUAACAACUUGGACCGCAUGGUCCGAGCUUGAAAGAUGGCUUCGGCUAUCACUUUUGGAUGGUCCCGCGGCGUAUUAGCUAGAUGGUGGGGUAACGGCUCACCAUGGCAAUGAUACGUAGCCGACCUGAGAGGGUAAUCGGCCACAUUGGGACUGAGACACGGCCCAAACUCCUACGGGAGGCAGCAGUAGGGAAUCUUCCACAAUGGACGAAAGUCUGAUGGAGCAACGCCGCGUGAGUGAAGAAGGGUUUCGGCUCGUAAAACUCUGUUGUUAAAGAAGAACAUAUCUGAGAGUAACUGUUCAGGUAUUGACGGUAUUUAACCAGGGCGUGUCGGAUUUAUUGGGCGUAAGCGAGCGCAGGCGGUUUUUUAAGUCUGAUGUGAAAGCCUUCGGCUCAACCGAAGAAGUGCAUCGGAAACUGGGAAACUUGAGUGCAGAAGAGGACAGUGGAACUCCAUGUGUAGCGGUGAAAUGCGUAGAUAUAUGGAAGAACACCAGUGGCGAAGGCGGCUGUCUGGUCUGUAACUGACGCUGAGGCUCGAAAGUAUGGGUAGCAAACAGGAUUAGAUACCCUGGUAGUCCAUACCGUAAACGAUGAAUGCUAAGUGUUGGAGGGUUUCCGCCCUUCAGUGCUGCAGCUAACGCAUUAAGCAUUCCGCCUGGGGAGUACGGCCGCAAGGCUGAAACUCAAAGGAAUUGACGGGGGCCCGCACAAGCGGUGGAGCAUGUGGUUUAAUUCGAAGCUACGCGAAGAACCUUACCAGGUCUUGACAUACUAUGCAAAUCUAAGAGAUUAGACGUUCCCUUCGGGGACAUGGAUACAGGUGGUGCAUGGUUGUCGUCAGCUCGUGUCGUGAGAUGUUGGGUUAAGUCCCGCAACGAGCGCAACCCUUAUUAUCAGUUGCCAGCAUUAAGUUGGGCACUCUGGUGAGACUGCCGGUGACAAACCGGAGGAAGGUGGGGAUGACGUCAAAUCAUCAUGCCCCUUAUGACCUGGGCUACACACGUGCUACAAUGGAUGGUACAACGAGUUGCGAACUCGCGAGACUAAGCUAAUCUCUUAAAGCCAUUCUCAGUUCGGAUUGUAGGCUGCAACUCGCCUACAUGAAGUCGGAAUCGCUAGUAAUCGCGGAUCAGCAUGCCGCGGUGAAUACGUUCCCGGGCCUUGUACACACCGCCCGUCACACCAUGAGAGUUUGUAACACACAAAGUCAGUGGGGUAACCUUUUAUGAACCCCCCGCCUACGGUGGGACCGAUGAUUACGGUGAAUUCCUACGCGGGUGGCC